AUUGAACGCUGGCGGCAGGCCUAACACAUGCAAGUCGAGCGGAUGAGUGGAGCUUGCUCCAUGAUUCAGCGGCGGACGGGUGAGUAAUGCCUAGGAAUCUGCCUGGUAGUGGGGGACAACGUUUCGAAAGGAACGCUAAUACCGCAUACGUCCUACGGGAGAAAGGGGGGGAUCUUCGGACCUCACGCUAUCCGAUGAGCCUAGGUCGGAUUAGCUAGUUGGUGAGGUAAAGGCUCACCAAGGCGACGAUCCGUAACUGGUCUGAGAGGAUGAUCAGGCACACUGGAACUGAGACACGGUCCAGACUCCUACGGGAGGCAGCAGUGGGGAAUAUUGGACAAUGGGCGAAAGCCUGAUCCAGCCAUGCCGCGUGUGUGAAGAAGGUCUUCGGAUUGUAAAGCACUUUAAGUUGGGAGGAAGGGCAGUAAGUUAAUACCUUGCUGUUUUGACGUUACCAACAGAAUAAGCACCGGCUAACUUCGUGCCAGCCGCCGCAGUAAUAC
rnacentral:rRNA from 1 species